CGGACGGGUGAGUAAUGUCUGGGAAACUGCCUGAUGGAGGGGGAUAACUACUGGAAACGGUAGCUAAUACCGCAUAACGUCGCAAGACCAAAGAGGGGGACCUUCGGGCCUCUUGCCAUCAGAUGUGCCCAGAUGGGAUUAGCUAGUAGGUGGGGUAACGGCUCACCUAGGCGACGAUCCCUAGCUGGCCUGAGAGGAUGACCAGCCACACUGGAACUGAGACACGGUCCAG
rnacentral:rRNA from 1 species